CACCGCCUGAAAACAAAUCACCAUCAUAUUCUCGUUGUCAUCUCCAAGCUAUACUACAAUUUCCAUCACAGUUGAUCAAUUCAAAGAAAUCGAGAGCUAGAGAAAAGAAUUCUUUCUUUUUCUCUUUUCAAAGACAAUUUUCCAACCUAAGCUCACCGCGCGCCGGAGAACCUCUGUCCUGUCCACGGUCGAACAACGACAGAGACACAGCAGCGGCGGCGGCUUCGGCCGUCUCAAGCGCCAACGGGAGUGACACAGCGGACAGCAGGAGAAGUGGCCGACGGCGCUGCUGCUGCUGCCCCACGAGCGCUCGAAGAGGCCCCGCGUCGGCGAGCAGCAAGAACAGCGACGAUGGCCGGAGGAGAUGACGGUGGAGGGAUGGGCGAUUGGCGACGAACUCGCCGGAGAAAGAAAAGGAGUGGAGGCGCCGCCUCUGAUGUAGGAAAGAAUUUGAUGAAUUUGGGGAAAAUGGAAUGAAGGGGAUAGAGAGAGAGAGAAGUUGACCGAGAAGGGAGAGUGGAGAAAUUUUUGGUGAAACACUUUGGUUGGGCCACUUUAGUUGUUUUUGUUUGGGCCAAAGGAUUUUCAAGAAUUAAAGUGGACUACAUAAUUAAAUUAGAUAAGGGGGCCGACAGUGAAUAAUAACAAUAAAUAAAGGGGCUACUUAAUUUCUUGUUGUUAAUGAGAAUGGUCUUUUAUGGACAAGGAUUAAAAUUAGUGUUUGGGCCGAUUAAAUUACAUAGAGCGAAGAGUUAAUCGUGGAGA